GAGUUUGAUCCUGGCUCAGGAUGAACGCUAGCGGCAGGCUUAACACAUGCAAGUCGAGGGGUAUUCUAGCAAUAGGAGAGACCGGCGCACGGGUGCGUAACGCGUAUGCAAUCUACCUUUCACAGAGGGAUAGCCCAGAGAAAUUUGGAUUAAUACCUCAUAGUAUUAUGGAAUGGCAUCAUUUUAUAAUUAAAGUCACAGCGGUGAAAGAUGAGCAUGCGUCCCAUUAGCUAGUUGGUAAGGUAACGGCUUACCAAGGCGACGAUGGGUAGGGGUCCUGAGAGGGAGAUCCCCCACACUGGUACUGAGACACGGACCAGACUCCUACGGGAGGCAGCAGUGAGGAAUAUUGGACAAUGGGCGCAAGCCUGAUCCAGCCAUGCCGCGUGCAGGAUGACGGUCCUAUGGAUUGUAAACUGCUUUUGCACAGGAAGAAACACCCCCUCGUGAGGGGGCUUGACGGUACUGUGAGAAUAAGGAUCGGCUAACUCCGUGCCAGCAGCCGCGGUAAUACGGAGGAUCCAAGCGUUAUCCGGAAUCAUUGGGUUUAAAGGGUCCGUAGGCGGUUUAGUAAGUCAGUGGUGAAAGCCCAUCGCUCAACGGUGGAACGGCCAUUGAUACUGCUAGACUUGAAUUAUUAGGAAGUAACUAGAAUAUGUAGUGUAGCGGUGAAAUGCUUAGAGAUUACAUGGAUACCAUUGC
rnacentral:rRNA from 1 species